UACCGAUAAUGGCAAACUUAUCGAAAGGUAGGGACGCAAAGCCACGGGCCUAAAGCAUUAAUGCUAUGGUAGCCGAGCCACCGAA
rnacentral:ncRNA from 1 species